rnacentral:rRNA from 1 species
AUUACUCCUACGGGAGGCAGCAGUAGGGAAUCUUCCGCAAUGGACGAAAGUCUGACGGAGCAACGCCGCGUGAGUGAUGAAGGUUUUCGGAUCGUAAAACUCUGUUGUCAGGGAAGAACAAGUACCGGAGUAACUGCCGGUACCUUGACGGUACCUGACCAGAAAGCCACGGCUAACUACGUGCCAGCAGCCGCGGUAAUAAU